GCCGGCCCGCUUGCUAGCUCACAGCUCAGUCUCCCCGGCGGCGGCGGCGGCGCGGACCGAAACUCGCCCCCGAGCCGAGAUGCACAACUCCUCAGCGUCCCGAAGAUCGCCUCUCCAGGCUCGCUACAGAGAAUGAGACCUGGUAUACAUAGCACCUGAUGAGAACAAAGAGUACCUGGGCCAGAAACUCAAAAACAAAGCUGGAAUGAAGGGCAAAAAAGUAGGGCAUGGCUGCCAAUGCUCUUCCCACCCAAAGAGCAACAUAGGAACUCACCAGAAUUUCCUUAAAGUUCCAGAGUUAUGACUGCCAUUAGAAGUGACUUUUCCAUUGAUCCAGGAACAGAAGACAGAGAUGUACCAUGGACAAGCAACUAUGCGUUCGAGGGCCAGAUCCCUUGGUUCAAAUCCAAGCUGUAUGAUCUCAGACAAGUUGUGUACCUCCUCCCACACGUUAACCUCAUCUACUGGAUGAAUCCCUGCUUCAUCAGCACAUUUAGGGAACUGUGUGGAUUGGCACUUAGCACAAUACCUGGUACAAAGUAGGCAUUUUCUAUUCAUAUCCAUGAUGUAUAAAUGUUUUAUGCACAUUUUGCUUUUCAUUAAAAAAAAGACUUUAAGCGUUGCAA